UACGGGAGGGCAGCAGUGGGGGAAUAUUGCACAAUGGGCGCAAGCCUGAUGCAGCCAUGCCGCGUGUAUGAAGAAGGCCUUCGGGUUGUAAAGUACUUUCAGUCGUGAGGAAGGUGUUAAGGUUAAUAACCUUAGCAAUUGACGUUAGCGACAGAAGAAGCACCGGCUAACUCCGUGCCAGCAGCCGCGGUAAUACGGAGGGUGCGAGCGUUAAUCGGAAUUACUGGGCGUAAAGGGCACGCAGGCGGUUAAUUAAGUUGGAUGUGAAAUCCCUGGGCUUAACCUGGGAAUGGCAUUCAAGACUGGUUAGCUAGAGUCUUGUAGAGGGGGUAGAAUUCCGAUGUGUAGCGGUGAAAUGCGUAGAGAUGUGGAGGAAUACCGGUGGCGAAGGCGGCCCCUGGGACAAAGACUGACGCUCAUGUGCGAAAGCGUGGGGAGCAAACAGGGAUUAGAUACC
rnacentral:rRNA from 1 species